GCUGAGGUAUCCAAGCUUGGAGAUGCCCGUUUUUGGACGGACAUUGAGAAGUAUGGAGAUGGAUUGCUAAUCCAUUGUCGUAAGACUCACGAGUUCAAGUCUCGUCCUCAGCGCCA
rnacentral:tRNA from 1 species